rfam:Ictidomys tridecemlineatus contig103011, whole genome shotgun sequence.
GGGGAUAUAGUUCAGUUGGUAGAGUGCUUGUCUCUCAUGCAUAGGGCCCUGGGUUCUAUCCCUAGCACCACCA